UACGGAGGGUGCAAGCAUUGAUCGGAAUUACUGGGCGUAAAGGGCGCGUAGGCGGCCGGAUAAGUCAGAUGUGAAAUUCCACGGCUCAACCGUGGAGCUGCAUUUGAAACUGUCUGGCUCGAGCGUAGCUAGGGAAAACGGAAUUCCACAUGUAGCGGUGAAAUGCGUAGAUAUGUGGAGGAACACCGGUGGUGAAGACGGUUUUCUGGGCUAUAGCUGACGCUGAGGCGCGAAAGCUAGGGGAGCAAACGGG
rnacentral:rRNA from 1 species